rnacentral:rRNA from 1 species
AGCGAACGCUGGCGGCAGGCUUAACACAUGCAAGUCGAGCGGGCGUAGCAAUACGUCAGCGGCAGACGGGUGAGUAACGCGUGGGAACAUACCUUUUGGUUCGGAACAACACAGGGAAACUUGUGCUAAUACCGGAUAAGCCCUUACGGGGAAAGAUUUAUCGCCGAAAGAUUGGCCCGCGUCUGAUUAGCUAGUUGGUGAGGUAACGGCUCACCAAGGCGACGAUCAGUAGCUGGCUGAGAGGAUGAUCAGCCACAUUGGGACUGAGACACGGCCCAAACUCCUACGGGAGGCAGCAGUGGGGAAUAUUGGACAAUGGGCGCAAGCCUGAUCCAGCCAUGCCGCGUGAGUGAUGAAGGCCCUAGGGUUGUAAAGCUCUUUUGUGCGGGGAAGAUAAUGACGGUACCGCAAGAAUAA